CAUCUAUGAAUCUUGUGAAAAUUUUUUUCUGUAUUUACUCUUGCUCUGAUCAGAGACUUUCUGAACUCAGUCUUGUGAAUCGCAUAGGACUACUCCUUUUUUACCAAGAUCGAUAGAUUUCAUUUAGGUGCUUCCUACUCCAAACAGUGAAUCUAAACCUACAAUAGCCAACAUACACAGCAAAGAUCUGAAUGGCUAUGGACCAAGGGAAUGUAAAGUCAAAUUAAGUAGCCUCACUACGAAUAGCCAACAUACCAC
rnacentral:lncRNA from 1 species